AUUGAACGCUGGCGGCAUGCCUUACACAUGCAAGUCGAACGGCAGCACGGGAGCAAUCCUGGUGGCGAGUGGCGAACGGGUGAGUAAAGUAUCGGAACGUGCCCAGUCGUGGGGGAUAACGUAGCGAAAGUUACGCUAAUACCGCAUACGAUCUAUGGAUGAAAGCGGGGGAUCGCAAGACCUCGCGCGAUUGGAGCGGCCGAUAUCAGAUUAGGUAGUUGGUGGGGUAAAGGCUCACCAAGCCGACGAUCUGUAGCUGGCCUGAGAGGACGACCAGCCAAACUGGGACUGAGACACGGCCCAGACUCCUACGGGAGGCAGCAGUGGGGAAUUUUGGACAAUGGGCGAAAGCCUGAUCCAGCCAUGCCGCGUGCAGGAUGAAGGCCUUCGGGUUGUAAACUGCUUUUGUACGGAACGAAAAGGUUUGGCCUAAUAAGCUGAGCUCAUGACGGUACCGUAAGAAUAAGCACCGGCUAACUACGUGCCAGCAGCCGCCGUAA
rnacentral:rRNA from 1 species